CUCCUGCCAAGUGGCUUGAAAAAGCGAUACCAUGCUUUUCAAAGUGAGCACUGUGUGGUUUACCCUUGUACGCGAUCUGAUUAGAGCCCACAAUGUCUUCUAAAUGACCUUACAAGUUUUGCGUGUGUGCGGCUUUUUCAAAAGUUUCCCUCUCUUUCCCACAAACCAUCUGGCUUGCCAGGUUAAUUAUGGCUGAAAUGAAUUCAGGAGCUCGUGUGCUUUGUUGCUUGUUUUUCCUCUGAAAUGCUUUGAUUUCAAUGCAGCCACAACAUCAUAGAGUGUACGCCAAUUCCACGAAAAAGUUGUUCCGCCCCCUCUCUAAUUGCUGAUUGUGUUAUCAAAGAGAGCUAAUGUAAAGGACCACAGAAAAAAAAAAAAAACAAAACUUCAAACACCCUGGCCUGGAGGGUUUUGUUUUGAAAAGUGUGUCACAAGUUCCACAUCGAGCUUAGAUGUUCAGUUAGGGUGGCCUCAGGCCCCCCACACAAAUGACACGUUUUGUAAUUCUGCAAAUCGGCCACCCUUAUGUCACGUAACACGGAAGGAGAUCACGCUCCAGCUACAUCUCACCAUCUUGCCAAUCAUCAUCACAUAGGGACCCAGCUCAUGAGCGGGGGAUCCUGGAGACGCAGAACCAUGCCGACAGAAAAUAUGAGGAUGGCCAUGAGGUCUGUGAUGUUCCAAUACUCCUGAAGCCACACCUUGACCUUCUGUAACAACUUCCCUGGCUCUGACAUAAGGAUCUAGAAGAGGGUUGGAGAGGAAUUAGAUCUGGGAAGGGAGAUCGCAGGAGGAUCCUAAAAUGCGUGAGAAAAGAAUUGCAGAUUUUGUCCCAGUUUUCCUGCAUCUGCUCAGUUUUCAUGAAGAUGAAGAUGGUCUGUUCAAAACUUAUUCGCCGGCCCUCGUGACUUAGCUACGUAUUUCCUGGAAUCGAGGGCCUACACAAAACAUCGCACGCACAACUGAGUUGAGGGAUGUCUUUGAGGGCUAUUGGUGAAUUACCCUUCCAAACAAUAAUCGCUCUUCCUCCUUCUCUUCGUCUUUCAUAUGCCAUCAAGAGUCUUCAAUAAAGAUUGUUUAAAGGGCAAGUUAACCUACGUUUUUUUAAGAAUACCUGUUAUGUGCCACCACUAAUCAAAAACAGUAUCCUGGUCAAUAUUGUGUACAUGGAAUAACAAUUCAUCCAUCUCUGUCAAUCACAAAGGGCCGCCGCUUGGGGCAAUCCCACCCUCUGCUGGUGACCGAAAUUAACGUCAGAACUACCCCCCAAAUCCUGCCUAUGACAUGACCCAAACCCGGCAAAUAGGUUCGUAGACUCCCACAGUAUUCUGCGGUAACGUGACUUGUGUUUUCCUUAUGUUAAGAUGUAGUUCUUAGUAUUUUGUUGUUGUUGUUCAUUGUUUGGGGUGCCUUGAAUGGAUUAAUUGGAUUUAGAUUAUUUUUUAAGGGCAAUAUUGAUUUGGUUUGAUUUGGUUUUAGUCCGACGAUUGAGAACAAUCAGUUCAAAAACCAAGGUUCCGCUGCAUAUUAAAAAAAAAAUAAAAAAAUGAGCAUUAUUACCUUUCGAAUGGAGAUAUUGGUGUUAUACAGCCCUACUAUUUGAUCAUACAAGUAAUCUUUAUUUAUUCUUAAGUAUCUGGCGGUGCAUUUCUACAGUGAGAAGCCGGGACAAAACUGCAAAUGUGCCCUAUAAGAGCAGGUGUCUUGUAGGUCAUGUCCACAUAAACACAGGCAUUUUGGUUUUUAAACUAAAUAUUUUUCUCUCCCCCUCCUACUUACUAAAUAUAAACUACACAUACUCUGCAUCACAUUUUUACUUGUAUUUUUUUUAUUCCUGUUUUUAAGUUUUGACAAGACUAACUACUUGACUGCCCUUUUCCUUCACCGAAAUACUGACUCUCUGGGAAUUUCAUUCUUCUGCUUUCUGAUUGGUUCAAAUUGGUUUGUGUUUAUAUUGCUCCCUGCUGUUUUGAUGUGCAUUUGGCAUCCUGUAAAUGUGUUUUCACUAAUAGAGAGAUUGAAAUUAGUGUGGAAAGUACAUUUUUAUUGAUUCAUAUACCUGACUGUGUAUGGACAUAACCCAAACCAUUUUUUCUUCUUGGGUCACAUGUGCAAUUGUCCAUUUAUUUAUGUCGGCUUGCUGGCUGUCCUCAAUGCAGAUGGGAAAUAGUUAAAGUGGUGCUGAGAGGUGCUCGACUUCAAUGCAAUCAGUUAAAUGGACAAUAUAAGAUCCAGGUUGUGAAUUACAAAUCAAUUUCCACUCUUGAUUUCUGUGCACAAACUGGAUCCUGAUAUAUCUCCUGAACUGAUUAGAUUGAACUGGAAAAAGUCCCAAGUGCUGUCUGGCAUCCAAGUCUAUAAACGCCGAUGGAGCGACUCUGUGGCUAUGAGAAAGUCCUCGCGUAGACUCUGGAUGAUUUAAAAUGUGCAGCAGCAGGCACGCACAGUUACAUAAAUGCAAAUCCCCGGGCCUGCCCAUGCUCGGCGGCCCACAUGCGGAGUGGUCCGCUGCAGCAAGCCGUCACCAGAAGGAAAGCGGGAGAGGCAGCUGUCGGCUAGCAUUGUACUGUACCUCAUCUCGGAGAGAGGGAAGGAAAGAGCACGUGGGGAGUAUUGGAAGCGAUAACAAGAGGGACCAACGGGGUGACGGGGAAAGGCAGAGGAGGGAAUCGAUAGAAGGAGAAACAUUCACGAGGAAAACCCACAAGAGACGCUACAACUCCACGACCGAUGUCUUGGAUUCGACAACGAGAAACGGGUAAUGUUGUGUGCGUUUUGAGAUUUGUCCUUGUGAGUGUGUGAGUACAAAGAAUUCUCAUUGCAGGCAGAAUGAAACUGCACUCGUUGUGGACAUGACUACUUCAUGUGUAAAUAUGUGCACAGGUUCUGAGAUGCAGGGCUGAGGCUUCUCGGGCUCUUCUUCCUCCUUCUCCUGCAAGUAGGCCUCCUGGUCCUGAGGCAUGUACGACAUCUCGUCCUUGUUCUUGAACUCCAGGCUCAGGAUAGACGGCGGCAGGAGGAGACCCAGGA